UCUUGAUUUUCAGUAUUAAUGAAACCUUUAAUCAAGCGCUGGCUGAUACCAACUCUCCACAGUUUGCAACAAAAGCUAAAAAUAUACGUAGUCAGGUUGAACCUUUGUACUCUAAACCCUAUAAAAACUUCAAAAGCAUGGACAUUUUACAGUUCAGCAAUGGUUCGACUAAGAUAUUAGCCAACCUUAACUUUAAUUCUAAUGGCCCAAAUGUUACUGAAUCUGAUAUAAAAAAAACUCUUUUAGAUGGACUGGUUAACUUGACAUUUCCUGUUAUUCCAAACUCCAUCACUGCCAUUCAGAUU